AUCCAGCUGACGAGUCCCAAGUAGAACGAAACGCGCGUCAAACUGGAU
rfam:Schistosoma haematobium scaffold1214_7, whole genome shotgun sequence.